UACGAAGGGGGCUAGCGUUGUUCGGAAUUACUGGGCGUAAAGCGCGCGCAGGCGGUCUUCCAAGUCAGUGGUGAAAGCCCGGAGCUCAACUCCGGAACUGCCAUUGAAACUGUAAGACUUGAGGAUGAGAGAGGUGAGUGGAAUUCCCAGUGUAGAGGUGAAAUUCGUAGAUAUUGGGGAAGAACACCGGUGGCGAAGGCGGCUCACUGGCUCAUAUCUGACGCUCAGGCGCGACAGCGUGGGGAUCAAACAGG
rnacentral:rRNA from 1 species